rnacentral:rRNA from 1 species
GACGAACCGAGCGAACGUUAUUCGGAAUCACUGGGCUUAAAGGGCGCGUAGGCGGGCGGCCAAGUCAGGGGUGAAAGCCCCCAGCUCAACUGGGGAAGUGCCUCUGAUACUGGUCGCCUCGAGGGAGAUAGGGGCGUGCGGAACUUCCGGUGGAGCGGUGAAAUGCGUAGAUAUCGGAAGGAACACCGGUGGCGAAAGCGGCGCGCUGGACCAUUACUGACGCUGAGGCACGAAAGCUAGGGGAGCAAACAGG